UUUUUUUCAUUUUAAAAUUAAUUAUCUUUAAUAACCGAGAGAUUAGAUUAUCAGAUUUUACUAUAAAAACACUUGUUAAUCAUAUUUUACCAUAAACUUAACUUAUAUGUAGUCGCUCCAAACUUGUACACAUCAUACUUUGGAAUGGAUUGCAAGACAGAAAAAAUCUUCAAUGUUCUUCUAUCUUGAACACAAUAUUUUUUUCUGCUCUUGCAAUCCAUCCUAACAUAAUGGUGUUGAUGUUGUUUUUGUAUUUUUG
rnacentral:lncRNA from 1 species